AGUAAAUAGAUACCCGGGUAGUCCACGCCGUAAACGAUGUCGACCUGGAGGUUGUGCCCUUGAGGCGUGGCUUCCGGAGCUAAACGCGUUAAAGUCGACCGCCUGGGGAGUACGGCCGCAAGGUUAAAACUCAAAUGAAUUGACGGGGGCCCGCACAAGCGGUGGAGCAUGUGGUUUAAUUCGAUGCAACGCGAAGAACCUUACCUACUCUUGACAUCCAGAGAACUUAGCAGAGAUGCUUUGGUGCCUUCGGGAACUCUGAGACAGGUGCUGCAUGGCUGUCGUCAGCUCGUGUUGUGAAAUGUUGGGUUAAGUCCCGCAACGAGCGCAACCCUUAUCCUUUGUUGCCAGCGGUCCGGCCGGGAACUCAAAGGAGACUGCCAGUGAUAAACUGGAGGAAGGUGGGGAUGACGUCAAGUCAUCAUGGCCCUUACGAGUAGGGCUACACACGUGCUACAAUGGCGCAUACAAAGAGAAGCGACCUCGCGAGAGCGAGCGGACCUCAUAAAGUGCGUCGUAGUCCGG
rnacentral:rRNA from 1 species